UCCCUGCUGGCUCAGAUGGUUAAAGUGUCUGUCUACCAUGCGGGAGACCCGGGGUCGAUCCCUGGGUUGGGAA
rnacentral:tRNA from 1 species